GGGGGAGAGACAAGACAUACCUGUAAGAUGGUUUAACAUCUACAGGAUGGUAGAUAACUGGAAGCUGAUUUUGAGGCCUGAUUGGAGGUACCUGCUCAUGUGGUAUCCAUACUGAGUCACUGGUAUGGAAACUUAAUUUUCAGUUCUAUCAGUAAUUUUUUUUUCUCUCUCUCUCUUUCCUUCCUUCAUUCUCCCUUUCUCUCUCUCUCUGUUUCUGUCUUGUAUAAGCAAAAAAAGACUACAUCUUCUAUCAACUUUGGGAGUAAGUCAAAACGUUACAAUUAAGAUUUUUGGUUUCAGCACUGGUAUAACCCCUAAAUAAAAGAGAGAAGAAGAGACAUGUCAUCUUCAGGCAAGUUCCUAGAAAGGUGGCUUUGGUGCAGCCUGCAAGAUAAAAUGUAGAAGCAACCAGAGUGGGUUGGACUGAACGUAGAGAAAUCUUAAGUGUAAAUAUCAGUGUGAACAUGCUGUUUUCCUACAUGAGGAGUCCUGAAAGUGUCAGGCAGAUGUGCUCAUAGGUGGGAUUAAAUGUCAACUUCUUGUUUUUCUGAACUACGGACAACCUUAAAAUGCCUAUUAGCACUUGCAGAGGAGGUGCAGCUGGUAAUUCAGAGCUCAGCACCUGUUCUCUUUGCUGUGGUAACACACACCUGUCUGACUCUAGUGAGAUGUUCAUUUCUUGAGACCAGCUCAGACUUCAGACACUUAGGGAAGAGAGGUUUUUAAUAUGGCUGGAACAAGGAAAGAGAAUUUGUACCCAUAAUAAAGAGGAAUAAGUUGAUAUAAAAAGAAGAGCCUCUUGAUCUGAUUCACAACAGCCCCCUACCAGGGAUUCUCUAUAGACUUCCCUGGGAAUGCUUCUAGCUCGCAUUGGUGAGAGAACUGUGUUGAAUUUUUAGGCAGGAAGAUGGACAUUUCCUUGUUUAUUUAUUUAUUUAUUUCACAUAUGAAUGUAUUUUAAAUUGCUGGAUCAAGGAACAGGGAUAGUAAAACAUGCACAUGUGGAAAUGAUGUACUGAGAAAGUUCUGUGGUUUCAUAUGGAGAAAAAAGAUAGCAGCCAAUUCUAGCUCAGUAGGCAAGUAAUUAAGCCAGCAAUCUCUCUGUACAUUGUAUUCUAAGUUCAGUACAAGAAUAUGUAUCAUAUUAUUUUUCUUUUAUUAUCUGCAGCUUGAUUUCAGGAAUGACCAUCACCACAGUCAUCAUUUAAAGGUGAAUGAGUUUCCUGAAGGUUAGGUGGAAGUCAGUAUGAUUAACAUGUCUUGUUCCUGUUCAUGAUCGCUAUCGUUGG
ensembl:lncRNA